rnacentral:sRNA from 1 species
AGACUGUGUCCCUGGAAUCAGAAAGAGGAAAGUAACCUUUCUACCUGCCCACCUUGAAGUUAGAAACUUCUGGAGAGUGGAAGAGGUGCUGGUUGGUACAGAGGUAAGGAGCCCGCAAACUCGAGAGGAGAGGUCACUGGAGGCAAAGGUUUGCUUGUUUUAAAUAGCAUGUCCACUUGGAGCAGUAUGGAGGGGUCCGGGGUAGACUGGGGUCUAUUGGGGUCCAGUUGAAAUGUCCUGGGUGAGAUGGGGAGAAGAGAAAAAGGCGAGAGGUGGACAUUGGGCUUUGUUCAUAGGCUGUGGCAAAUGGCUCUAACAUCCAACUGAGGUGCCUGCAAGAUUGACAGGCACAGCUGCUGACCUCAGGAGAGUCUCCCGGGGACCAGUGUGGUCAUAGAGCAGUUUCGUCUAUCAGGCCUAGCUACAGCCCAACCCCCAUUACCACCCGGAUCUAAACCCAUCUGAAACCAUUGCUACGAAGAUUCUAUUGCUGACUGUGCUCCGACAUGCUCCCACAAAUAAAAUGUACUUCUUGGCACAGGACUGCAUUCCUGAACAUACCUUUUUGGGGUUCAAGCAGCAAGCAUUACAGGGCUUUAAACACUCGAUAAAGUAUAUUCCCAGACAUUUCACAGGUAUCCUAUAUCUAUAUAUGAAGAUAAAACAUUCAUUUUUAUACUCUUUAUUGAAAGGUGCACGGAUAACCACAAGUAAACACAUAAAAUAAUAAGGAUGAAUUUUCACCAACUAAAAAUAUCCAGCUCAUCAGCAGCCAGAUCAAAACAAGAACACUGCCCAUUCUCCAGAAGCCCCUUAAGCACAUUGAAGCUUAACACAGUUUUGAAAUAAGGCUACCAAAAAAAAUACAAUCUUUCUCUGACAUAACAUGAUAGUAAUUUUGCAGUGAGCUGUUAACUUGGGUCUGGUAUUCCACCAUUGGCAGGCUUCCGUUUCCCUUUUGCUCCUAAAAACCAAAUCUUUAAGCAAAACUCCCAACUCUUCCCUCAUGAUCAUUUGCGUCUUUAGGCCCGUCAGCAGAUUCUGUUAAAUGAACUGGCAAAUUGGUGAGGAGCAGAGGAUAUGAAUCUGUAUUAAGCAGCAGUGAGUAGGCAGAGAAGUUGAAUAUCAUGUAGCAAAUAAGUGGGACUGUCCCUCAGUCAUUUGACUCAGGAUUCUAAGCACACACCCCAGGCAGUGCUAGCCUCUUAACAGCUUCCUAUUGGGUGUUGCUUUGUAAAGGUGAUUAUCAUAGAAGUUGUUUGUUCUUUUUCUUUGGUUUUUCUUCAUCUUCAUUUAUACUGAUAGUGUCAGAUCUUCUAUAGGACACUUUUAUAGGACACUGAUGUAUUUGUCUCACUCUUCUAAUUAUACUUCCAUAGCAAUGCAGAUCUAAUAUCUUCUUGUAUACAUAUGCAUACAUAGACUCAAACAGCAUGUGCAUGUCUAUAUAGAUAGGAUUUGAACUGAGAGAGGCAUGUGACCUUAGGAGUAGCAAGUGUAUUUUUAAACAUGAGUGGAGAUCUAUGGUUUUCUGACUUUGUUUUGUUUUGUUUCUUCUGGAACAGGGAAGAAGCCAUUGCAGAUGGGAGUGGGUGAGCACAGGGCUGGGAAGGGGAUCCCAGGGCAAAAGGAUGUGAGCUUGAAAGACGGUGGAAGUUGCUCCCGUUGCCAUGGCUUAUUAACUAAGAGGCAGAUGGUCCAAUGCGAGAUGGGAGGGGGAUACUCCUCCAACACCCCUGGGCUCCUUGCUUCUUCCCAACUUCUGCUGGGGGAAGAAAAGUGAUUUCUAUUGGCUUGCCUGCUUCCAGGUGACCCAGCAUUUCCUGCUACCGAUGACCAAGCAUCGUCUCCUGGAGUCACGUGUCGGUCCUUCAGUGUCCAUGCUCACUCCACCAUGUGUCUAUCAGAGAGAGCAAACACUGGUGUCUUUUCCUGGGCGUGACCUGCAGCCAAGGAAGCCUGCCGAGAGGCAACCCUUAAGGCUUUCCGUUGUGAAUGCAAAGGAGCCUGGAGCUCUUCAUGCUGGGUCCAACAGAGGGUACCUGGCUCUCCAAAACGAUCGCCCACUGGUUUAGACAGUGUUCAGUUCUGCCAGCUCCUGAUUCGACAGAAUCUUACUCUCUGGUCAAGUCAUCUUCCAUUCAUGAUCCUCCUGCCUGUGCUCUCAAGCUCUGGGACACCAGGCAUGCAGCACCAUCACAGCUGUCCCAUUUCUUACAGAAGAUGCAUAACCAAUGCCUCCGCUAAUUCAAGUGGUCAGCCCUGGUGACGUCACUCCCUCUGUUCGCGCUUGCAGCCAUUUAUGCUAACAAUUCUGAUCCUGGAAGAUACUCUGCAUGGUCCCAGAAGAGAAAUAUUCAUCAUUGUCACCCAGCUACAAACCCUGCAGCCUAUGACAGUCACCUGCCUGCAGAUACACUGGAGCAAUAGUGACACAAAUGUUAUGGGAGUCACCAACCACUUUCUGAUUGGAUUUAAGGCCUGAUUGGAUUGGAGAUGGAACCCAUAAUGGACGCUGUUAAAAUGGCUAAGAACCUGAGAGUGGGGAGGUCAUGAGCCUAGGGGAAAAACCUACCACUGUGAUCCUGCUAAAGAAGUGCAGCAGAUUGUGAGUAAGCGUACAAACGAAGACAGUAACUCCAGAAGUGCGGAGAACGAAGUCAAGGGAUGUGCUGAAUGUGGGAAGGUGACACUGGUGAGGAAGGAAUCAGGUUGCCAUCUAUGGAGUAGAGCAUGGCAGUCGUGAAGACAUCAGGGGAGAGACCGCUCCAGCAGCAAAUGCAAGGAUGCUAGGUAGGCACUCAGCAUGUGUGUGGCCAUGAGUUUCCCAGGGAGCAAAAGGUUUUCUAAAAGAUGUCCCUCUGUCCUGCAGCACCAAGUGCCUAACAAGGGCAUCAGCUGCUUAGUCCUAAGACUCUCUCCCAUGAGGAGUCUGUCCACCUUCCUGGGACUGGCACAGUGUAGGGCACCUAUUAGGAACUAAGACUGAGGAAGGAAGGAAUGGGUUCUUGCGAGUAGCUCCCAGCCCAUUCAUGAACCUAAACUCAUGACUAAGCUUGAUUUCUGUGUGGCAGUGUUUACUGGCACAACCUUGUUAUUUUAAUCAACCUGAAGCAUUGGGCUCGUCCAUGGCUUGGGAUAGCCGGUGUAGAACUGGUUUUCGAUUAAUUGGAAAGGCCCUUUUAGCCCCAUGGGACACAUCCAGAAGGGCUAUUAUUUGCAUCAACGUAGUGACCCCUCCCCCUUCCAGUUGCAUGUCUGAAUGAAAGUCUUUCCUUGGUGAUCGUCACCAAGCUCAGUGUUGCGACAAACAUUCCUUGGACCAUUUUUUGUUAAAAAAAAAAAUGGAAUUUACAACAUGGAGUUUACACUUAAGGCUAAGGGCUUGCCAAUGGGCUGACCCCUGGGUCUGACCUCACUUUGGCUUUUAAUUUUGUCUUGGGUAACGUGCCUUCUGUUCGAUGACCAUGAGCCGCAGAGUCUGCGAGUAGACUCUAAAUUUAUGUUAUCCACUAAGCUCGAUCUGUGCUGUAGGUACUUUGAGCAUCCAACACGCACUAAGAAUCAUGAUGUCAGUACCUACGGCGAAGCAGGGAGGACCCGGCAAAAGCAAACAGCUACGCUUCCACAGAACCUAUGGAAGGCCGGUUAAGAAUGCCAAUAUGGACGUGGGGAGGCUUGAGGCUCUCGGAGUGUGGCAUGAUCAUAGCGAUGGGAGAAAGGUCACUCCAGGUUGAAAAAGUCUUCCACUGGGUGUGGA